rnacentral:rRNA from 1 species
CCUACGGGAGGCAGCAGUGGGGAAUAUUGGGCAAUGGGCGCAAGUCUGACCCAGCAACGCCGCGUGAAGGAUGAAGGCUUUCGGGUUGUAAACUUCUUUUCUGAGGGACGAAGAAAGUGACGGUACCUCAGGAAUAAGCCACGGCUAACUACGUGCCAGCAGCCGCGGUAAUACGUAGGUGGCAAGCGUUAUCCGGAUUUAUUGGGUGUAAAGGGUGUGUAGGUGGGCAAGCAAGUCAGAUGUGAAACCCCAGGGCUCAACCCUGAGCCUGCAAUUGAAACUGUUUGUCUUGAGUGCAGGAGAGGCAAUCGGAAUUCCGGGUGUAGCGGUGAAAUGCGUAGAUAUACGGAGGAACACCAGUGGCGAAGGCGGAUUGCUGGACAGUAACUGACACUGAGGCGCGAAAGCGUGGGGAGCAAACAGGAUUAGAUACCCCAGUAGUC